rnacentral:sRNA from 1 species
UAUCGCAGCCCGAUUUUCGGGCGUUUCCUCCCUAGACUUGGGCCGUUCCCUCACGGGAACGGCCCUUUUUUCUGCCCUCG